rnacentral:rRNA from 1 species
AAUAGAUACCCAGGUAGUCCUAGCCGUAAACGAUACUCGCUAGGUGUCGGCCACGGUGCGACCGUUGUCGGUGCCGUAGGGAAGCCGUGAAGCGAGCCACCUGGGAAGUACGGCCGCAAGGCUGAAACUUAAAGGAAUUGGCGGGGGAGCACCACAACGGGUGGAGCUUGCGGUUUAAUUGGAUUCAACGCCGGAAAUCUUACCGGGACCGACAGCAAUAUGAAGGCCAGGCUGAAGACUUUGCCGGAUUAGCUGAGAGGUGGUGCAUGGCCGUCGUCAGUUCGUACUGUGAAGCAUCCUGUUAAGUCAGGCAACGAGCGAGACCCACGCCCACAGUUGCCAGCGUACUCUCUGGAGUGACGGGUACACUGUGGGGACCGCCGCUGCUAAAGCGGAGGAAGGAAUGGGCAACGGUAGGUCAGUAUGCCCCGAAUAUCCCGGGCUACACGCGAGCUACAAUGGUUGGUACAAUGGGUAUCUACCCCGAAAGGGACGGGAAUCUCCUAAAACCAAUCUUAGUUCGGAUUGAGGGCUGCAACUCGCCUCA